GAAAUGCGAUAAGUAAUGUGAAUUGCAGAAUUCAGUGAAUCAUCGAAUCUUUGAACGCACAUUGCGCCCGCCAGUAUUCUGGCGGGCAUGCCUGUUCGAGCGUCAUUACAACCCUCAGGCCCCCGGGCCUGGCGUUGGGGAUCGGCGGAAGCCCCCCUGCGGGCACAACGCCGUCCCCCAAAUACAGUGGCGGUCACGCCGCAGCUUCCAUUGCGUAGUAGCUAACACCUCGCAACUGGAGAGCGGCGCGGCCACGCCGUAAAACACCCAACUUCUGAAUGUUGACCUCGAAUCAGGUAGGAAUACCCGCUGAACUUAAGC
rnacentral:misc_RNA from 1 species